GGCCGGGUAGGCAAACUGGCAAAGCCGCCGCGCUCAAAACGCGGUGCGUGCGGGUUCGACCCCCGCCCCGGUCAC
rnacentral:tRNA from 1 species